rnacentral:rRNA from 1 species
UCCUACGGGAGGCAGCAGUGAGGGAUAUUGGGCAAUGGGGGAAACCCUGACCCAGCGACGCCGCGUGAGGGAAGACGGUCUUCGGAUUGUAAACCUCUGUCUUUGGGGACGAAAAAGGACGGUACCCAAGGAGGAAGCUCCGGCUAACUACGUGCCAGCAGCCGCGGUAAUACGGAGGGUGCGAGCGUUAAUCGGAAUUACUGGGCGUAAAGCGCUCGUAGGCGGUAUGUCAAGUCAAGGGUGAAAUCCCCGCGCUCAACGUGGGAACUGCCUUUGAAACUGGCAAACUGGAGUGGG